CGUAGCAGCUUUUGAUCAUGUAUUUAUUAUUAUUUAUGGUUAGAUGGGCCGCAGGCCGGUCCAAAUUUAUUAGAGGGCUUGUUUUGGCCCGCGGGCCGCCAGUUGAAUAGCCCUGGUCUAAAAAGUAACUACCUUUUGAGGAGUUUAGG